rnacentral:rRNA from 1 species
GACGAACGCUGGCGGCGUGCCUAAUACAUGCAAGUAGAACGCUGAAGGAGGAGCUUGCUCUUCUGGAUGAGUUGCGAACGGGUGAGUAACGCGUAGGUAACCUGCCUGGUAGCGGGGGAUAACUAUUGGAAACGAUAGCUAAUACCGCAUAACAGAAGAUGUUGCAUGACAUUUACUUAAAAGGUGCAAUUGCAUCACUACCAGAUGGACCUGCGUUGUAUUAGCUAGUUGGUGGGGUAACGGCUCACCAAGGCGACGAUACAUAGCCGACCUGAGAGGGUGAUCGGCCACACUGGGACUGAGACACGGCCCAGACUCCUACGGGAGGCAGCAGUAGGGAAUCUUCGGCAAUGGGCGGAAGUCUGACCGAGCAACGCCGCGGGAGUGAAGAAGGGUUUCGGAUCGUAAAGCUCUGUUGUAAGAGAAGAACGAGUGUGAGAGUGGAAAGUUCACACUGUGACGGUAUCUUACCAGAAAGGGACGGCUAACUACGUG